rnacentral:lncRNA from 1 species
CAGCUAUUGUAAGAGCUGCUCGAGGAAAGCGUGCCGGCCUCGUUCUGAGGGGCGGGCUGUCUGAGGCCAAGGGAGGAGGCGGUUGGCUGUCAGGGAGGCAAGAGUCAGGAAUUUCCGGAGGUGGGUAGUCAGGGCGUAGGUUGGGGGAAGGCGACCUGGCCGGACAGUUCAAGGGGCAGGGGAAGGGGCAGGCUCCAGUGCGAUGGAAGAGCCUUGCCCUGAAGACCUGGGAACGCCCAGGUUUAUCCAGUUUCUGCCUCUAACUUACUGUGUGAUAUGGGAAAAGUCACUUCUUCCUGGCGUUGGUGCCCUCUUUGGUGAAAUGUAAAACCCUGUUCCUUGGACUAGGACUCAUUUUCCUUCCUGCCCUCAAUUCUGUGAUUCUGCCUGGACCCUGGCAAGAAAGAACAGCGAUGCGCGGAGUUACCCAGGAGUAAAGACACUGCUCGGUUCUGGCCCAGGACCAUAUUUUGCGUAAAGAAGCAAACUGGCCUGGAAGCAGGAAAAAAUGGGUCUGGCCCCACCUUGGAUGCUUAUUCAGCAUGAACUUGGACAAAUCAUUUCAUUUCUUUACUCAGCAGAAAAAUGACAGUAUUGAUCUUCAGACAUUUUGUGGCUAUUUUAAACGAUUUUAUUUUUUAGCAGAGAAAUCUCUUAUCUGUGUUGGGACAAAAACAAAAAAACUUGCCCUGAUUGAAGCAGCAGGAAAGGCUCUUGAGUCUAUCCCUGUGACUUUGGGGAGUCAUUUCAUUUUGCUUGGGCCUCUAUCUGUAACAUGGGAAUAAGAACUGCUCUUCUGAUCUCAUAGUUAAUUGGGGAAAAUGAGACAAGAUAUGUGGAAAGAUUUUGCAAACUCUAAAUUGAGGUACAAAUGUACAAAUUCAUACUCAGGCCUGGUGUCAACCCCUUCAUCACCUCUUCUGGUCCAGAAGUCAAGUCCUCCCAAAGGCAUUCCCAAAGCUCAUGGCCAUGGAAGGAAAAGAUGUCUGUUUCUCUCCAACCCAAAGCAUGGUAUGGGGCUAGUAGCCCUGGAAACCAGAGUCAGCAUCUUCCAGAUAACACAGCUUCUUUAUACAGAACUUUUAAUAGAAAGAAGAGCGACAACACAGCGCUGGCAUGUCAACAAAAGAACACUUUGAUAGCCAGACAAAGAAGAAAUACUAUGGCUACGUCAACCUUGGAGGGUAGCCCUGAAGGCAAGAACUUGAGCUCAGCCAGUCAUGCUGCACAUCUCUGCAAGACUGGCAGUAUUCUGUCCCAGGACUGCAGCUACCGUCAGGAGGCUCAGCCUGCCCCAUCAGCAAGCAUCCUGGCCCUGUCUGCUCAUCAGCCUCCAACAUCUGGAUGA